GUUGCGUCACGGGUCGACUUAAUCACGACUUAUGAGUGACAAUAUACUCGAUGUUUAAGGCAUUGUAACCCAACAAGUGGGGAGUUCGAUUUGGUUGGGACAAAUCGAACGAUCUGCGGUAGCAACGAUAAUGGCGUGGUGUGGAUGCAAGUUCAGCCAUGCCCAAUGUCGUUGUUACUUUGUUAGGAUUCUGGAACUCGUGGAUUUGUCRAUAUGUGUGGUGAUGUCAAGUUGUUUGGGUGAUCUUAGUUCAACUUUGAUCUUGGUUUUACGCUUAACUGGUAUUUUCAUGAGGCAUGCACUAUCGGUCUUGAUUGUUGCCAUAUGAUCGGAUUGUUGGUGUAACCGAUGACAUGAUUUGGCUUGUUAAUCUUAAAACCGUGGAUGACAAUUUGACGUUGUUUCAUUUGUUGAUGAAUGUUGUUGACUGUUGGUUUGAUGCGUCGUUGAARAUGACAUUCGUCUCGAGGUGAUGCGGUGUCAUGCUGCUUGUGUAUCCUGGUUUCUAGCUAUUUGGCUUAAAACACGUGGAUUAUCGGUUAGUGACACGGCAUCGCUACCUUGGUUGAUGAAAGUCUUCCAAUGAUGCAGUGGUUUGUUUGAUUUGUUCUCGUAUCGCUCGGUGCAUUCUGUGGUCAUUUUGGCUGAUAGCGGCUUGCUUGGCAAUUGAGCUUGGUGGGUGGCUACUGGUCGGGUGUCUUCGGGGAUGUCUACCGUAAAGGUGCAUGAGUGGUGUUUGGUUUGUUACGGGUGGAUGGCUCUUUGCUUGCGCAACAACUUCCACCUGGCAUACCUCUUCAGUCUUGUGUCAAUGCUUGUAUUGCAUUGAAUGCACGGCGGGUUUCUUGUGUUGCAUGCCUAAUUAAUGGUAUCGUUUGAUGAAUUGGUUUUCCUUUCGUCUUGUSUUGCUCAUGUGAUGUGAGAUGAACCUUGAAGCAGCCUUUGCGAUCCACUCUUUUGAUGCGUACGCAUCGAUUUAGUGGCCCGUUGAGUGUUGCUUGGUCUCAUGGAUACGGAACAUGGUGYGGGCAUCGAAUCUUAAUGGUUCCUUGYUUGCCCAAGUUUAGCUUUUCUAAAACGAUUGUCU
rnacentral:misc_RNA from 1 species